rnacentral:lncRNA from 1 species
UCUAGAACACUGAAUCCUUCAUCCCCAACCAUGAAUACUGAACAGUUCUGUUUUCUCUCCACAGAUUGGCAAUUGCAAGAAUCCUAAAUGAAAGAGAAUCCAGAGUGAAGUGGUACUAUUCUGCCGACGUGAAUUGUGUGGAGCUGUCCCUGCCUUCACUUCUGGUACCUCCCAUUCCUUCAGGCAGUGAUCAG